AGCAGCCGCGGUAAUUCCAGCUCCAAUAGCGUAUAUUAAAGUUGUUGCAGUUAAAAAGCUCGUAGUUGAAUUUCGGGAUUGACACAUCGGUCGUGCCUUAAGGGGUAUGAACUGGUGUAGUCAAUUUCUCACCUUCUGGAGAACCGCGAUGCCCUUAAUUGGGUGUCGCGGGGAACCAGGACCUUUACUUUGAAAAAAUUAGAGUGUUUAAAGCAGGCAUUUUGCUUGAAUACAUUAGCAUGGAAUAAUAAAAUAGGACGGCAUGAUUCUAUUUUGUUGGUUUCUAGGAUCACCGUAAUGAUUAAUAGGGAUAGUUGGGGGCAUUAGUAUUCAAUUGUCAGAGGUGAAAUUCUUGGAUUUAUUGAAGACUAACUACUGCGAAAGCAUUUGCCAAGGAUGUUUUCAUUAAUCAAGAACGAAAGUUAGGGGAUCGAAGACGAUCAGAUACCGUCGUAGUCUUAACCAUAAACUAUGCCGACUAGGAAUCAGACGAUGUUAAUUUUUUAAUGACUCGUUUGGU
rnacentral:ncRNA from 2 species